AUUGAACGCUGGCGGCAGGCUUAACACAUGCAAGUCGAACGAGUGGCGGACGGGUGAGUAAUGCUUGGGAAUCUAGCUUAUGGAGGGGGAUAACUACGGGAAACUGUAGCUAAUACCGCGUACCAUAGGAUGAGCCCAAGUGGGAUUAGGUAGUUGGUGAGGUAAAGGCUCACCAAGCCGACGAUCUCUAGCUGGUCUGAGAGGAUGACCAGCCACACUGGGACUGAGACACGGCCCAGACUCCUACGGGAGGCAGCAGUGGGGAAUAUUGCGCAAUGGGGGCAACCCUGACGCAGCCAUGCCGCGUGAAUGAAGAAGGCCUUCGGGUUGUAAAGCACUUUCAGCGGGGAGGCGUUACCCGCAGAAGAAGCACCGGCUAACUCCAUGCCAGCAGCCGCGGUAAUUC
rnacentral:rRNA from 1 species